rnacentral:pre_miRNA from 15 species
CUUUCUUCCAAAGAAUACUCUAUGAAUCUAGUGGAAACAUUUCUGCACAAACUAGAUUAUGGAUACCAGUGUGCGGAAAUGCUUCUGCUCCAUUUUUAGAGUUUGCCUACAUUUUUGGAC